GCCCGGCGCGGUGGCGCACGCCUGUAAUCCCAGCGGCUCGGGAGGCUGAGGCAGGAGGAUCGCGAGUUCCAAGCCAGCCUCAGCAAAAUCGAGAUGCUAAGCAACUCAGGGAGACCCUGUCUCUA
rnacentral:sRNA from 1 species